rnacentral:rRNA from 1 species
AGGGAAUCUUCGGCAAUGGACGAAAGUCUGACCGAGCAACGCCGCGUGAGUGAAGAAGGCCUUCGGGUCGUAAAACUCUGUUGCCAGAGAAGAAGAGCAGCCAGGGUAACUACUGGCUGUGUGACGGUAUCUGAGAAGAAAGCCCCGGCUAACUACGUGCCAGCAGCCGCGGUAAUACGUAGGGGGCAAGCGUUGUCCGGAAUUAUUGGGCGUAAAGCGCGCGCAGGCGGUUGGGUAAGUCCGAUGUAUAACCUUGUGGCUCAACCAUAAGUGGCAUUGGAAACUGCCGGACUUGAGUGCAGGAGAGGAAAGCGGAAUUCCACGUGUAGCGGUGAAAUGCGUAGAGAUGUGGAGGAACACCAGUGGCGAAGGCGGCUUUCUGGCAUGUAACUGACGCUGAGGCGCGAAAGCGUGGGGAGCAAAC